rnacentral:lncRNA from 1 species
GCUUGUAACAACAGAGGACCAAUCCUGUCAAUCCCACACCCCACUCCCAAGCCUCUGCUUUCCUGGCUGGACAAUAGAGGGUAGAGGGAAGCUUGAUGAUUGGGGUGUGUGGAGUGAUUUCCAGGUGUGCUCAAAAAUGUCUGUUCUGCUGGCUCUGAAUGUCUUCCUGGGCUCCUGCUGAUGGGGGUCAGGGCCGAGCCGAGGAGGGUCUGGGUGGAUGGGAAAGCAUCUCCCUUCCCAGUUACCUGGCAAGGCCAACUGGAUCGGCUUCCCUCUACCUUGGUGGCCUCUGGUGGGCAAAAGCUGGGCAGGAAUGUGAUGGGGCAGGCCUGAGAACGUCAGGGGAAGGCGGCACAGAUAGGGCCGGCUAGAGGGGCUGCCAUGUGUGACCCAUGGCAGGGGAGGUGACAGCCAAGACAAUGGCCACAGUCAGAUACUGCGGGCAGCAAGAGCAAGGACAUUUGGUGGCGAACAGGUCAGAGAAUCGAGAAAUUGAGGCCAAGCUGGUGUGUUAGGGUUUAGGCAGUAGGUUGUGGGGUGUGAGUCAGGUGUAAAGCAGGGGUCCCCAGAUUCCUCCCUGUCCUCUCUCUCUGGUAUGUGCUUGUACCAAGGAGAGAAGCCUAGUACUCAGGUGUCCCUGAGGCUAUGACCCACAUCUGCCUGGACACCCCUGAUGUAGUGACACCUUUGUGACACCCAAAGGCCUCAGGAAAUUCAUGCCCAGACUCAGGAUAGAAUUCCCAGUGCCAUGAUCCUUCCUGACUGCAGGGCCUGGGCUCAGAGCCUCCAGCAGCUCCUUAGACAUCGCACCCCAAGAGAAAAAUCCAAGGAGAAAGCUCUACAGCAAUCCCACUGUCUCCAGAGCCCAGGAGGCCCAGCCAUGCUCCCCGAGAGCUGCAGGGCUGGCUGCUGUCUUCCUGCACCCCCAGUGUGUGCCCACUCAUUCUUCCUCCCUCCCGAGCCUGGGGCCUUCUCACUCACUGGCCUGUUUACACACCAGGGGCCGUGGAUCCUGGCCAAACCAGCCUCCUGGGACAAGAGCAGGACCAAAUUGGCUAAAUCUGGCUUCCUUCUGCACUCCCAGCUCAGUCUGUCCCCUAUGGGCUCUCCUGGGAAGUCAGCAAUCCUGAGCUGGCCAGGAAGAAUACUGUGACCCUGGGAGGGACUCACUAUUACCCAUUGCCCCACAGACUGACCGGAAUGAUAACGACUUGCAGUGCGGUGUUGCCGUCCCCAACCACCCCUGUUUUCUGACAACAAGGGAGCGCGGGAGACCGGAGCGUUGAACCCAAAUCCCUCAGCAGUUGCACUUCAUUAAGUCAAAAUGUGACAAGAAGCUUAGAG